ACCCUCAGCGAGGGCACUAUUACGAUGGUGCGCAAUGGGCGAAAGCCUGACGGAGGGAUACCGAAGACAUUACGAAGCCCAUCGGUUUGUAAACUUGUGAACUGGGGACGAUUACCCCGGUGACCAGGUAAUAGCACCGGCUAACUCAGCGCCAGCAGCAGCGGUAAUGCGGAGGGUGUCGAGCGUUACCUGGAUUUAAUGGGUGUAAAGGGCGUGUAGGCGGUCUCAUAAGUCAGAUGCUAAAGCCAUAGGCUCAACCUUGGGAAUGCGUUGGCAUACUGUGAGGCUAGACGGUCGGAGAGGGUAGCGGAAUUUCCGGAGUAGCGGUGAAAUGCGCAGAUACGAGCAGGAGCGCCAAUAGCGAAAGCAGCUACAUGGACGAUUGUGACGCAGAGGCGCGAGAGCAGUGGGGAGCAAACUGGAUUAGAUAUCCGGGUAGUCCACGCCAUCAACUUUGAGUGUUGGGUGUCUGACAUCGUGGGUGCCGUAGCUAACGCGAU
rnacentral:rRNA from 1 species